AACGCUAGCUACAGGCUUAACACAUGCAAGUCGAGGGGAAACGACUCGAAAGCUUGCUUUUGGUGGGCGUCGACCGGCGCACGGGUGAGUAACGCGUAUCCAACCUGCCCACCACUUGGGGAUAACCUUGCGAAAGUAAGACUAAUACCCAAUGAUAUCCCACGAAGGCAUCCGAAUGGGAUUAAAGAUUUAUCGGUGAUGGAUGGGGAUGCGUCUGAUUAGCUUGUUGGCGGGGUAACGGCCCACCAAGGCUACGAUCAGUAGGGGUUCUGAGAGGAAGGUCCCCCACAUUGGAACUGAGACACGGUCCAAACUCCUACGGGAGGCAGCAGUGAGGAAUAUUGGUCAAUGGGCGAGAGCCUGAACCAGCCAAGUAGCGUGCAGGACGACGGCCCUAUGGGUUGUAAACUGCUUUUAUAAGGGAAUAAAGUGAGUCUCGUGAGACUUUUUGCAUGUACCUUAUGAAUAAGGACCGGCUAAUUCCGUGCCAGCAGCCGCGGUAAUACGGAAGGUCCGGGCGUUAUCCGGAUUUAUUGGGUUUAAAGGGAGCGUAGGCCGGAGAUUAAGCGUGUUGUGAAAUUAGUGGCUCAACCUCUGCACUGCAGCGCGAACUGGUCGUCUUGAGUACGCACAACGUGGGCGGAAUUCGUGGUGUAGCGGUGAAAUG
rnacentral:rRNA from 2 species